rnacentral:rRNA from 1 species
CUACGGGGGGUUGCAGUGGGGAAUAUUGGACAAUGGGGGAAACCCUGAUCCAGCAAUGCCGCGUGUGUGAAGAAGGCCUGCGGGUUGUAAAGCACUUUCGGUUGGGAGGACUGCUUCUAGCACUAAUAUUGUUGGAAGUUGACGUUACCUUCAGAAGAAGCACCGGCUAACUCCGUGCCAGCAGCCGCGGUAAUACGGAGGGUGCGAGCGUUAAUCGGAAUUACUGGGCGUAAAGCGCGCGUAGGCGGCUAGAUCAGUCGGGUGUGAAAGCCCCGGGCUUAACCUGGGAACUGCAUCCGAUACUGUCUAGCUUGAGUACAGGAGAGGAGAGUGGAAUUCCACAUGUGGCGGUGAAAUGCGUAGAUAUGUGGAGGAACACCAAUGGCGAAGGCAGCUCUCUGGCCUGAUACUGACGCUGAGGUGCGAAAGCGUGGGGAGCAAACAGGAUUAGAUACCCCCGUAGUC